rnacentral:tRNA from 1 species
GCCGUCGUAGCUCAGUUGGUAGAGCACGUUCUUGGUAAGAACGGGGUCCCCGGUUCGAUCCCGGGCGACGGCUCCA